rnacentral:rRNA from 1 species
GACGAACGCUGGCGGCGCGCUUAACACAUGCAAGUCGAACGGAAAGGCCUGCUUUCCCUUGUGGAUUGCGGGUACUCGAGUGGCGAACGGGUGAGUAACACGUGAGUGAUCCGCCCCCAACUUGGGUAUAAGCCUGGGAAACUGGGUCUAAUUCCCGAUAGGACUGCAGGGUGGUGCCUGUGGUGGAAAACGAUUUUCUAGUGGUUGGGGAUGAGCUCGCGGCCUAUCAGCUUGUUGGUGGGGUAAUGGCCUACCAAGGCGGCGACGGGUAGCCGGCCUGAGAUGGUGGACGGCCACAUUGGGACUGAGAUACGGCCCAGACUCCUACGGGAGGCAGCAGUGGGGAAUAUUGCCCAAUGGGCGGAAGCCUGAUGCAGCGACGCCGCGUGGGGGAUGACGGCCUUCGGGUUGUAAACUCCUUUCGACCGCGAGGAAGCCACCUGGUUGGAAGGGUGGUGACGGUAGUGGUAGAAGAAGCACCGGCUAACUACGUG